ACUUUAAAAAUGUUUGAUUUUGACCAUCUGACCCAAUUUUAUUUAAAAAAGUAAAUAAUCUUUAAUAUUUCAAUUUUCUCCUAAGUCCCUCCCCUGCCCUGUAGAGCUCAGCCAAUAUUUCUGCAAGCCUAACGCGUUGACCAAUAGCGCUGCGUUUCCACCAGGGGGCAGCUGUCAAUCAUCGAGCACGAGCAUUCGAUCUCAGCGUGCACAACAGUGUCACGCGCCUCACUCGGCUUACUGCAGAAACAUGGAGCAACAAAACCCCAAAUUACCGAUUCCUCGACUGCCUUCCACAUCUCAGAAAACAUUUAAAAAGUUUAAAAGCCCUUCUUCAAAAGUGGCUGUAAGACGUUCGAGACAGUCGAGUAGAAUUUACAUUGGAGAUUGUUUUACACACGAUGGAGAGAUUUUCGUGAUCUACACGGCCUGAAAACGGAUGAAGAGUUGGCAAAGUAUCUUUUAGACAGUCAUCAGUCCAAAUAUGAAGCAUCAACAUCUACACCAUUGAAGCGCCAACUGUGUAUUUCUCCAACACCAGUGCCAGCUCUGUCUAGCAUUCAUGGAGAGUCAUCUGAAAGGUAAAUAGCUGCGUAAAAACCUCUACCAGGAAUAUUAUAAUUUUGCCUCUGUUUGUUUUAAGUUAGUGGUGGAUUAUUUUGAAAAAAUUCUAGAAAUGGGAUAAUGAAUGACUAUAAAAAAUGUAUAGAAAUAAAUAGUAGAACUACAUUUUAUAUAGCGCCUCUCAAGAUAAAACUCUUGAGACACUUCACAACAACAAAAUUCAACAUAUUUUAAAAAAUUAUAUUUUUAUUUCAAAGUUUAUGAGAAAAAAAUAACACAAUUGUGUUUUUAAAAUGUAAAGAGAGAGACAGGAAAUUAUUUGUAAAGAAGGAAUUCAGUGGAUACAGAGAAAUGCGUAAUAAGUAGAGUGAGAAAAAUAAGGAGAGGGUGAUGAUGACGGCCAAUAGACGAGGUCUAUUACCUUCAAAAUGACAAAAUAUGUAUUGAUUCUAAUCAUAUUCUUGUGCUUGUAUUUUAUUUUCAUAGGGAUGAUAAUUUGGAGGAGGUGAUGGAACAAGGUGAAACUAAAAAAAGAAGGAUCUUCACAAAUGUUAUCUUGUGUGGGAAUUGAAGCAAACAUUGACGAGGAAGAGUUCAACAAUAUUCAAAACUCUGUGAUAGAGUCAUCAGAUGACACAUGGUCACCAAACAGAGAACCAGAAGUUGAUUCGUCUUUAGAGGAGGACGAAACCAUCGAGAUGGACAGCGGUACUGAUGACCGCGGUGAUGAGGACUACACACCUUAUAUACACAUAAGGACUGGAGCAGCAUUACAAUAAACAUUACAACUUGAGACUCUGCAAGAAAUUAACAUAGAGGAUACAGUUCAUGACUGUAAUAUCCCAGAAGCAACGGACCGACGUUUGACAAGCAAGAAAGGUCUUCCUCGACGCUACAAGCUAAGGCCUGAGGAUCCAAGGCGUUACGGUUUGCUGUCCGGAGUUCCUGCACCAUCAACAGAGGAACUUCUACAACACCUACGGACUUGCGGUGAUGGUAAAACUUUGCCACAGACGUAGGUGUUGGGGGAGGCAAGAGAAAACCCAAAACCUUCUUUAUUUUUGUUUCCUGUGUUUUUUUUGUUUUUUUUUGAAAAUAAAGAUAUAUUUUGGGGAAAUAAGGACUAAUAAUUUAAAAAUUUAUGUAAAAUGUUGGAGGUAGACAUAAUUUUUUUUUUUG